GCGGGCCGCGGCUGCGGGGGUUGGUCAUGACUGGCUACAGUCUGUGAACAUAUAACAUGCAGUGUUGCACAAGUGGAGGUUUUUGCCACAAGUUGUGUGAGAAACUUGAUAGAAGUCAUGUGUGAGGAACUGAGAGGGAGACGAGAUGGUGGCCCCACGCUGAGAGGCCUGCAGGAUCAGCUAGAGUGCCAUGGCCUCAUCGUAGUUCACAGCGACUCAGACUCCUGCUUUAGCCUCCUGAGUAGCUGAGACCACAGGCAUCUUGACUUUCAUACUUUUGCUAAGGACUAUCCAGAGUGUUUUUGGUGGCUGGUUGGGAACUGUCUAAAACAGAAGGUCUUCUUGGUUCCUCUGUCAGUACAAAAGAUUAAACUCUACAGAAGAGCACAAUCAAGUGAUGGCUUUUUUUUAGAAUUUGAAUAUGGAGGCCACGGGAACAGAUGAAGUUGAUAAGCUAAAAACUAAAUUUAUAUCUGCUUGGAACAACAUGAAAUAUAGUUGGGUAUUGAAAACAAAGACGUAUUUUAGUAGAAAUUCCCCUGUAUUACUACUUGGAAAAUGUUACCAUUUUAAAUAUGAAGAUGAAAAUGAAAUGUUAUCUGCAAGAUCAGAAUGUACAAUAGAAGAUCACGUAAUUGCGGGAAAUGUAGACGAAUUUCGUAAAGAUUUUAUUUCUAGAAUAUGGCUGACUUACAGAGAAGAAUUUCCUCAAAUAGAAGGCUCAGCUUUGACAACAGACUGUGGUUGGGGUUGUACGUUGAGAACUGGCCAGAUGCUGUUGGCUCAAGGACUCGUACUACACUUUCUUGGUAGAGCUUGGACCUGGCCUGGUGCUUUGAAUAUUGAAAAUUCAGACACUGAAUCAUGGACUUCCCACACUGUAAAAAAAAUUACUGCAUCAUUUGAAGCAUCGCUUUCAGGGGAAAGAGAACUCAAAACCCCAACAAUUUCUCUGAAGGAAACAAUGAGGAAAUAUUCUGAUGAUCAUGAAACGCGAAAUGAGAUUUAUCACAGGAAAAUCAUCUCUUGGUUUGGUGAUUCCUCCUUGGCUUUCUUUGGCUUGCACCAACUAAUAGAAUAUGGAAAGAAAUCUGGGAAACAAGCAGGAGAUUGGUAUGGACCAGCUGUGGUUGCACACAUUUUAAGAAAAGCAGUUGAAGAAGCAAAACAUCCUGAUUUACAAGGACUAACGAUUUAUGUUGCCCAAGAUUGUACAGUUUACAAUUCUGAUGUAAUUGAUAAGCAGAGUGCUUCCAGGACCUCUGGUAAUGCAGAAGACAAAGCUGUUAUUAUUCUGGUUCCAGUUAGACUUGGUGGGGAAAGAAGCAACACUGACUACUUAGAGUUUGUAAAGGGUAGUUAAGCCUUGAAUAUUGUGUGGGUAGUAUUGGUGGCAAACCUAAACAGUCAUAUUACUUUGCUGGAUUUCAAGAUGACAGUCUGAUUUACAUGGAUCCUCAUUACUGCCAACCUUUUGUACAUGUCAGCGUAAAGGAUUUCCCUCUCGAGACAUUCCACUGCCCUUCUCCCAAAAAGAUGUCAUUUCGAAAAAUGGAUCCGAGCUGUACAAUAGGAUUUUACUGUCGAAAUGUUCAGGACUUUGAACGAGCAUCUGAAGAAAUCACCAAGAUGCUGAGAAUUUCCUCUAAGGAGAAAUAUCCCUUAUUUUCUUUUGUAAAGGGUCAUUCCAGAGACUAUGAUUUUACAUCUACUACAACCAAUGAAGACCUUUUCUCAGAGGAGGAAAAGAAAAGAUUAAAAAGAUUUAGCACAGAAGAGUUUGUAUUGCUUUAAAGAUUAGCACAAUUGUGCUCGAUGAGAAGAACUCCUUUGAAAGAGGAAAAAUGAAGAGAAAUGAGAAACAAGUAUACUGGAAACUGCUUAUUUUCACAAAUAUCUUACAUUUUCUUUAAUUUUCUGUGUUCUUUAUGAAAAGAGCAUUUGAAAAUAUACAAGUUUGAAAUAUUUUUCUACAAGAGAAAUGAUUUAAUGAGUCUUGCUCUCUAAUAAAUAUCAAGCGAUUCUCA